CCUACGGGUGGCAGCAGUGGGGAAUAUUGGGCAAUGGGCGCAAGCCUGACCCAGCAACGCCGCGUGAAGGAAGAAGGCUUUCGGGUUGUAAACUUCUUUUGUCAGGGACGAAGCAAGUGACGGUACCUGACGAAUAAGCCACGGCUAACUACGUGCCAGCAGCCGCGGUAAUACGUAGGUGGCAAGCGUUCUCCGGAUUUAUUGGGUGUAAAGGGCGUGUAGGCGGGAAUGCAAGUCAGAUGUGAAAACUAUGGGCUCAACGUGGGAACUGCCUUUGAAACUGGCGUACUGGAGUGUGUGAGAGGAUAGUGGAAUUCGUGGUGUAGGAGUGAAAUCCGUAGAUAUCAGGAGGAACACCAGUGGCGAAGGCGACUAGCUGGAACAUAACUGACGCUGAGGAGCGAAAGCGUGGGUAGCAAACAGGAUUAGAUACCCCUGUAGUC
rnacentral:rRNA from 1 species